rnacentral:lncRNA from 1 species
GCGGGGCCUCGAAGUGAGCACGACCUCUCCACGGCUUGCCUCUACCAGGAUGUUCUGAAUCAUGUUCUGCAGUAUAGCUUCCUGCAGAAAACCAUGAAUGUUGGCAGGCAGUGGUGAGCAGAACAUGGAAAGCUACCCCAGUGCAUUGCCUCUCUCUCUCCUCUGGAACCAUCAGCCUAGAGGAUAUGGAACUGCGGUCCCACGAAGAGAUGCUGUGGAAAGGGGCGGUGUCACCCAUGACACAGGGGUCAUAUCCUACUCCUUGGAAGCAGAUGACUGCUGAGUUCCAUCCAAUGAUGUGUAUGGGUACCUCCACCUGGCAAGUUCCAGAGGCGGGAAGGAACUGGUGAGAUCAGAAAGCAGCAAGGAGGUCACAGCUCCAACUCCAACCACCCCCAGGACUCUCGGGGCCACUGCUCACUGUGUAGGUCUUGGCCUCGAUGGGCGAGAAGAUCCACAGGAUCCGAGCA